rnacentral:misc_RNA from 1 species
CCUCUUUCUUUGUUCUCUUUGGAGUUUCCGCUUCUUCAUUGGUAUUCUGCCGCACUUCAACCCUCAGUGGCUCACUUUCUGCACUAAAUUCACAACAUUUGGGGCAUCUGGGGGAGUCAAAUGCUGGAUUUCGCGACUCAUUUUGCUGGGUCUGGACUAUUGGCUUGGAGGGUUCUGUUGGGUCUUCUUUGGUUGUGUUUCCCUCAC